rnacentral:rRNA from 1 species
AUUGAACGCUGGCGGCAGGCCUAACACAUGCAAGUCGAGCGGAUGCAGGGAGCUUGCUCCUGGAUUCAGCGGCGGACGGGUGAGUAAUGCCUAGGAAUCUGCCUGGUAGUGGGGGAUAACGUCCGGUAACGGGCGCUAAUACCGCAUACGUCCUGAGGGAGAAAGUGGGGGAUCUUCGGACCUCACGCUCUCAGAUGAGCCUAGGUCGGAUUAGCUAGUUGGUGGGGUAAAGGCCUACCAAGGCGACGAUCCGUAACUGGUCUGAGAGGAUGAUCAGUCACACUGGAACUGAGACACGGUCCAGACUCCUACGGGAGGCAGCAGUGGGGAAUAUUGGACAAUGGGCGAAAGCCUGAUCCAGCCAUGCCGCGUGUGUGAAGAAGGUCUUCGGAUUGUAAAGCACUUUAAGUUGGGAGGAAGGGCAGUAAGUUAAUACCUUGCUGUUUUGACGUUACCAACAGAAUAAGCACCGGCUAACUUCGUG